AUUGAACGCUGGCGGCAGGCCUAACACAUGCAAGUCAAGCGGAUGAAGGGAGCUUGCUCCUGGAUUCAGCGGCGGACGGGUGAGUAAUGCCUAGGAAUCUGCCUGGUAGUGGGGGAUAACGUCCGGAAACGGGCGCUAAUACCGCAUACGUCCUGAGGGAGAAAGUGGGGGAUCUUCGGACCUCACGCUAUCAGAUGAGCCUAGGUCGGAUUAGCUAGUUGGUGGGGUAAAGGCCUACCAAGGCGACGAUCCGUAACUGGUAUGAGAGGAUGAUCAGCCACACUGGAACUGAGACACGAUCCAGACUCCUACGGGAGGCAGCAGUGGGGAAUAUUGGACGAUGGGCGAAAGCCUGAUCCAGGCAUGCCGCGUGUGUGAAGAAGGUCUUCGGAUUGUAAAGCACUUUAAGUUGGGAGGAAGGGCAGUAAGAUAAUACCUUGCUGUUUUGACGUUACCAACAGAAUAAGCACCGGCUAACUUCGUG
rnacentral:rRNA from 1 species